rnacentral:tRNA from 1 species
GGCUUCAUAGUGUAGUGGUUUUCACGUCUGCUUUACAUGCAGAAUGGCAUGAGCUCAAUUCCCCAGCGAAGCUG